rnacentral:misc_RNA from 1 species
GAUGACGUUUAAGGUUAUGACAACAUUCAUGGCUCCUCCCCCUGCUUCUACCUUCCUAGCUUUCCACCCUCAAGAUAACAACAUUAUCGCCAUAGGAAUGGAGGAUUCAACCAUUCACAUAUACAAUGUCAGAGUAGAUGAGGUAAAAUCAAAAUUGAAGGGUCACCAGAAGCGGAUAACGGGUCUAGCCUUUUCAACCAGUCUCAAUAUUUUGGUUUCUUCUGGUGCUGAUGCUCAACUGUGUUUGUGGAGCAUUGACACUUGGGAAAAGAGGAAAUCCAUAACAAUCCAGCUCCCAGCAGGAAAGGCACCUGUCGGCGAUACUCGUGUACAGUUCCAUUCUGAUCAGAUACGUUUGUUGGUAGUCCAUGAGACCCAGAUAGCUAUAUAUGAUGCCUCG